rnacentral:rRNA from 1 species
GACGCACUCUCAGAGUUUGAUCCUGGCUCAGGAUGAACGCUAGCGAUAGGCUUAACACAUGCAAGUCGAGGGGUAACAUGGGAGUAGCUUGCUACUUCUGAUGACGACCGGCGGAUGGGUGAGUAACGCGUAUGCAAUCUACCUUUUACUCGGGGAUAGCCCAUGGAAACGUGGAUUAAUACCCGAUGCAUUUCUUUUGUGGCCUCAUAAAAGAAAUAAAGAUUUAUCGGUAAGAGAUGAGCAUGCGUUCCAUUAGGAAGUUGGUAAGGUAACGGCUUACCAAUCCGAUGAUGGAUAGGGGUUCUGAGAGGAAGGUCCCCCACACUGGAAUUGAGAAACGGUCCAG